AACAAAGUAGUUCCCUUUCCAGGCACCUAAUAGUGCUCCUCUUCAGGAAAGUAGCCACUUGGAAUAAAAUCUGGCAUGCCUCAGGUUUUCAGGGCAGAAAGUAAUAAAUAAUUUCAUUUGCCUUCCUUUGGCUGCCUACAUGU